rnacentral:rRNA from 1 species
CGCGUAGGCGGGUUAUUAAGUCUGGGGUGAAAGUUUGCGGCUUAACCGUAAAUUGCCUUAGAUACUGGUAAUCUUGAGUUCGGAAGAGGGAAGUGGAAUUCCUGGUGUAGCGGUGAAAUGCGUAGAUAUCAGGAAGAACACCGGUGGCGAAGGCGGCUUCCUGGUCCGAUACUGACGCUGAUGCGCGAAAGCGUGGGGAGCAAACA